AGUCUGAAUUCCACCCUGACAAUGCUGGGUAUUCUCGGAUAGACUGGGGUGAGCCAUUGUCAUCUGGGGAAUUAGACAGCCAGUUGUUCCAGGUUCUCCUUCUUAAGUCAAUCAUACAUUGUACAAGGACCCACCAAUUGUUAUAUUCACAGAAAAAUUGAAGAUAUUUCUAAAUGCAAAGCUUAACUGAAAUUCCGAUUUAGCUUGGCUUGGUGUUUAAGAUGAGCAUCAUCUUCAAACCAAACUUCAAGAAUCCAAGUCCAGAUGAAUGAAAGUGUAUGAAGAAGCUCUUCCUUUCCUCUUGUUUACUCCUGCACUGAAUCCCUCUGACUCUUGCCACCACAUCAACCCUAAAAUUAUUUUUGCAAAAUUGUCUAGUUUUGUGAUUUAAGGAAUGCUUGCCUCAUAAAUUGACCUAAUA